CUGGUGAGCAUGGUUUGAGCUUGGUCAAAUUGGCUGAAGUGCGGAGUCUGCGGAUUAGCAGGUCCUCGCCUUUUGGUGGGGAUGCGUGAGGCACUCAUCAGGUGUUGCGCGCUCCGUACUGAAUCGGGCCAGCUUGCCAGUGCACUUUCACAGAGUGGUCACCACGACCGGCAUUGCUGUCGGACUGUUGUGGUUAAACCGGUCUUGCAUUGUCCUUGUGACUUUGUUUGGUCGGGAUGGCAGGUAGCUCGUUGGCUUGCUUGUGGUUCGCUGCAGGCAUUUGGUCUUCGGGUGUAAUCAGCUGACCACAUCAGUACUGUGCAGUAUGUCGGAGACGGCGGCUUGUGGUGUGCGCGUUCGUGCCAGUUGGCUGGCGUGUCCGGGUUUGGUUAUUAUGUUGCCUGUGUGUGCAGGCCUGAUGAUAGCCCGGAUUCGUUCGGUCGACGGUUGCGUUCGGUCCACUGAUACCAGGGCCCAUAGUCUGUGGUGUUGCGGUAGACUUUCCACCUGACCCGUCUUGAAACACGGACCAAGGAGAGUAACAUGUGCGCGAGUCAUUGGGCGUAACGAAACCCAAAGGCGAAGUGAAAGUAAAGGUCUGGCUUGUCUGGACUGAGGUGAGAUCCUGUCGUUUCUCAUGCGCGGUAUCACCAAGCUACGAGCGGCAGGCGCAUCACCGGCCCGUCCCAUGGUGUGGUGACACUUUUCGGAGUGUUCAUCACCGGGGCGGAGCAUGAGCGUACAUGUUGAGACCCGAAAGAUGGUGAACUAUGCUUGCGCAGGUUGAAGCCAGAGGAAACUCUGGUGGAGGACCGCAGCGAUUCUGACGUGCAAAUCGAUCGUCAGACGUGAGUAUAGGGGCGAAAG
rnacentral:rRNA from 1 species